AGCAAAGUGGCCCAGUGGCAGCGUGCUGGGACCAUAACCCAGAGGUCCGUGGAUCGAAGCUAUGCUCUGCUA
rnacentral:tRNA from 1 species